rnacentral:rRNA from 1 species
CCUACGGGAGGCAGCAGUAGGGAAUCUUUCACAAUGGGCGAAAGCCUGAUGGAGCAACGCCGCGUGCAGGAUGCAGGCCUUCGGGUUGUAAACUGCUUUUAUAAGCGAGAAAUAUGAUGGUAACUUAUGAAUAAGGAUCGGCUAACUACGUGCCAGCAGCCGCGGUCAUACGUAGGAUCCGAGCAUUAUCCGGAGUGACUGGGUGUAAAGAGUUGCGUAUGUGGCAUAAUAAGUAGCUAGUGAAAUCUGGUGGCUCAACCAUUCAGACUAUUAGCGAAACUGUUAAGCUCGAGACCGUUAGGGGUAACUGGAAUUUCUAGUGUAGGAGUGAAAUCCGUAGAUAUUAGAAGGAACACCAAUAGCGUAGGCAGGUUGCUGGGACGGUUCUGACACUAAGGCACGAAAGCGUAGGGAGCAAACGGGAUUAGAUACCCGAGUAGUC